AGAGAGAGGGGAGGAAGGAGGACGGGACGGAGAGAGCGCGGUGAGGACAACAACGGGGACCCAACAGAGAGCAUCCCUCUUUAAUCUCCGACCUGCUCUGGGAACACUCUGCCCGUAAACAUCAUCUAAAAACGGGAUCCUGCACGCUGUUUAUCCACCAAAAGCAUCGGUUGCUCCUCUCCAGGGAUACCUGCUCCUGAUCUGUUAGCCCCUUAGCCUCCGCAGUACCCAGUCCUCCUCUCCACUCUGUCCUGAUGAAGGAGGCCGACGCCAUCAAGCUGUUCGUGGGGCAGAUUCCCCGGAAUCUGGAAGAGAAGGACCUCAAACCCAUCUUCGAGCAGUUCGGCAAAAUUUAUGAGCUAACUGUGAUUAAGGACAAAUACACUGGCAUGCACAAAGGAUGUGCUUUUCUGACGUACUGUGCGAGAGAGUCGGCACUGAAAGCCCAGAGCGCUCUACAUGAGCAGAAAACACUACCGGGGAUGAAUCGGCCAAUCCAGGUGAAACCAGCUGACAGCGAGGGCAGAGGAGAGGAUAGGAAGUUGUUUGUGGGCAUGCUGGGGAAGCAACAGAGCGAUGAGGACGUCAGAAGACUGUUCGAGCCCUUUGGCAGCAUAGACGAGUGUACUGUGUUGAGAGGACCCGAUGGCACCAGCAAAGGGUGUGCUUUUGUAAAAUUCCAAGGACACGCUGAAGCCCAGGCUGCCAUCAACAGCUUGCAUGGAAGUCGCACAAUGCCUGGAGCGUCGUCCAGUCUGGUGGUGAAGUUUGCCGACACAGAGAAGGAACGGGGGCUGCGGAGGAUGCAGCAGGUGGCCUCCCAGCUCGGCAUCUUCAGCCCCAUGACCCUCAACUUCCCCGCCUACAACGCCUACACACAGGCAGUCAAUGCACAGCUUGUCCAACAGCAGGCCCUGGUUGCCCAGUCAGCGUACUUGUCUCCUGUGGCAACAGUUGCCGCCGUACAGAUGCAGCAGAUGGCGGCGCUCAAUGCCAACGGAAUCAUUGCCACACCCAUUACACCCAUCACGCCGUCCUCGGGUACAAACACUCCACCAACUAUCGCAGCAACGCCUGUGCCAGCCCUCCCUCCGCCACUAGGAGUGAAUGGUUACAGCAGUCUGCCAGCUCCAACCAAUGGACAGCAAGCAACAGAAGCACUAUACACCAAUGGAGUUCACCCAUAUCAAGCUCAGAGUCCAGCAGCGGCCCUGGACCCCAUACAGCAGGCAUAUGCCGGCAUGCAACACUACACAGCAGCGUACCCUGCCGCCUACGGAUUGGUCGGGCAGCCGUUUCCCCAGCAGCCAACACUGGUUGCCCAGCAACACCAGCAGCCCCAGCAACAGCAGCAGAGAGAAGGUCCAGAGGGCUGUAACAUCUUCAUCUACCACCUGCCUCAGGAGUUCAGUGACUCUGAGAUGCUGCAGAUGUUCCUGCCCUUUGGCAAUGUCAUCUCAGCUAAGGUGUUUGUCGACCGUGCCACCAACCAGAGCAAAUGCUUCGGAUUUGUGAGUUUUGACAACCCAGCCAGUGCUCAGGCUGCCAUCCAGGCCAUGAACGGCUUCCAGAUCGGCAUGAAAAGACUGAAAGUUCAGCUCAAAAGGCCCAAAGAUGCCAACCGCCCAUACUGAGUGACAACUGAGACGAGGAAGACGAAAUAAAGAGAGAUCCUCCCGUCCAAUCAUAAUUCACGAGGACCCCAUCGCUAUGGCAAUGGUUGCCUAGUGACCGAUAAAGCCCCGACCCCCCCUUCCUCUCGCAUUGUUGUGACCUUUCAGAGUCCAGCGGAGGUGGAAUCCCAGGGUUCAUAGUGCUUUCAGACUGUCUGCUACCUUUGAGCGUCCGGGGAGUGCAGCCACACACACACACACACACACACACACAGACACACACACACACUCUCACAUGAUGCGCUCUGAGCCUCGAAAGGUACAAGGCUGAUAUACAAAUGUACAUAAAGUGCACAUACACACACGCCAGAAGACAAAACACACACGGUUCACACGAGUCAGUAAUCUUAUCCAUACGGCCUAGAGCUUGGUUCGACCAUGGUCUACGUGUUGCCAACAGGGUGUUUAGUUCAGUUAAGACAACUCAGACCGAGCAUGUAUGGAAGGUACUGAUGAAAAAUGCUGAUAUAUCACUUAAAUAGACUUUAACGUGUCUAUACCAUGUCUAUUUCAUGACAAAUAUAGAGGGGCCGAUGUUUCAUAAUAAAAAAAGGCGAGAAAA